UACGUAGGGAGCAAGCGUUGUCCGGAUUUACUGGGUGUAAAGGGUGCGUAGGCGGCUUUGCAAGUCAGAUGUGAAAUCUAUGGGCUCAACCCAUAAAUUGCAUUUGAAACUGUAGAGCUUGAGUGAAGUAGAGGCAGGCGGAAUUCCCCGUGUAGCGGUGAAAUGCGUAGAGAUGGGGAGGAACACCAGUGGCGAAGGCGGCCUGCUGGGCUUUAACUGACGCUGAGGCACGAAAGCGUGGGUAGCAAACAGG
rnacentral:rRNA from 1 species